rnacentral:lncRNA from 1 species
GCGCAUUAGUUAUUUGAAUGCCAAGAGCAUGAAGGAGCUUCAAUCCAUGGUAAAUGGCUUAGAUCUUUUUCAUAUAAGCCACAAUGCUAUGACACUUGCUUGUAAAGGUGGUAUUAAAGGCAAACAACAAAAGGCCUCAUUUCCAAGUGGAGUUGUAAUACGUUGUUGUAUGGCAUGAUUUGCUAUCUGGGAAUACACUAGGUAUCUAGCUGUAGAGAGUGUACCUUAAACCUUAAUAUGAUUCUUUUCUUGGCUUCCAAAACUCCUCUAUUUUUGUAUAAAACUCCAAAUAUAACAAAAUCCCUUCAAAACAUAUUUUUCUCGCGAAGGGUUUUCUUGCCUGGAACUUUAGAAAAUCAUAACUAUUGAUCUAACCGUUCAGUUUGUUUCAAAUUUACAAGAUAGGUAUAAUUUACCCUUAACUUGUAUCAAAAAAAAAAACCAACCAGAAAUUCACUUCCGAUCUUCUGGCAUCUAAGAAACCCUAGCAGGCACUCCAAACCCUAAUUUACAAGCACCCGAAAACUAUUUUCCUUAUAUCUCAAAAAUCCGAACUCCAAAUGUCAUAAAACUUAUGCACAAAGUUUACUAACAUAAAAUUACACGUUCCUUGAAAUUUUGAGCCAAAACCUCACAAAAUUGCUCAAGAUAUAGCUCAAGAGACAAACACUAGUAAAUCGGUUUACUUACUACCCUUAGAUUGCAUGUGCUGACUUCAGAAUCCAAUAACUCCUUCAUCCCAACUUGAAAUCCAGUAAACAGUAUGUGAAAAAUAUAGCCGAAAAAGUGCUCUCUUCAGUCCCGGUCGCCGAUUCUCAAUUGCUGUCUGUACGCGUGCGUUAUGCCCAAAAGAGUGACAGUAGGUCCAAAACUAACACCUUAACUUUGAGCGCCUAUAACUUCUUCAUAAAAACCCCAAAUGACAUAAAACUUGUACCAAAACCUUAACCAAAAACCUAAACCUUCUGACCCUAGCCUUCAAAGUUCGAAUGGCC